AGACUGCCAAAGCCGGGCGCAGGAAGGCCGAAGAGUGCUGAGGACGCCACCACAUCCCAGUAGGCUCCGGCCUGGGCGGCCACAGCGCUGGGCAGCAUGGUGCGCGCCCGCUGCCCGGGGAGCCGUGGAGAGCGAGUGCGAAGGGACAGGGACAGGGCGCGGACAGGAUCGGGGCUGAGGGGUCCUGGGGAUGGAACUCAGAAGACCCUUCAUAGACUGUGCUGAAAUCUGGCUCCAAAUGAAUAUCAGCAGAAGGGUCUCCUCAGAUCAGAGGAGUAAACCUGUGGACCAGUCAAGGAUGCAAGCAACGGGAAGCAUCAUCCUAGGGAUGGGAAGGGGAAGAAUGCCUGCCUAGGAAACAGACCCCAGGAUCACCUGCCCCAGGGACAGCAUCACCAUCAACAAUGGGAAGGGCCUCCUACAUCAAUCAUCAAUCAAGAAACUAUCCCACAAGCUUGCCUACACGCAAGCAAUCUGGCGGAAGCAUUUUCUCAGUUGAGGUUCCUUCUUUCCGAGUGACUCUAGCUCAGCUCAUGUCAACCCGACAAAACACUAGCCAACACGGUAUUAAAUGAAAUAAUCACAUGGUAGAUUACAGCUACUGCUUUAUGCAUGUUAAACUAUCCCUGCAUCUCUGGAAUGAAGCCAAUUUGAUCUUGGUAGAUAAAUUUUUAGUGUGUUUGUUUCUUUUUAUUGAAAAUAGAUUUUUUUUCCUCAUAUUAUAGAUCCUGAUUACACUCUCCCCCCCCCUACUCCUCCCAACCUCUCCUUCCAUCCAGAUCCACUUCCAUUCUAUCUCUCAUUAGAAAACAGGCUUCUAUGCUAUAUUAAUAUAACAAAAUAAAACAAAAACUAACACAUUAGAAUUGAACAAAACAAAAAAAGAAAAAGAAAAUAACUAAAGAAAAAG